GCAAUUCUUUCUUUUUGUUAAUCAUUUAGUUUGUAACUAUCAUUCCCUGCUCACCAUUGCCAGUCCUCCCCUCUCCUCUGUCCGGCUGUUUCUAUUCCCAACUCAUGUUGACUGCCACUGCCUCCUCUUGGCUUCUAGUAUUUCAGAUAUGCUCAAUUCCUAAUUAAAGAAUAUUAUGUACAAGAAUGUGGAGGCCCUAAAGCAUGAAGCAAUUUAAUUUGUCAAAAAUUAAAACAUAGCAAAAUAAAAGUGCUUCUAAAUUGAUCUCAUCUUUUAAGAUUUUACACAGAUUUACAAUUUUUCAUUAUAGCCAAACAAGAAAAAAAUCUAAAUAAAAAAAUUCCCCAAGGUUCUGUGUUUUCGUAUCAAGAAUUAUUUGCAAAUGAAAAGAUUCAGGUUUUCGUUUAACUUUAUCCCUCGAAAGCAACUUCUCCGUGAGCAUUCACACUUAUUUACAAAAAAAAAUAAUUAGUGACAACUAAAGUGUAAAUUGAAUUUUUUUAACCAAGCAAUAAAUUGUACCUCAUUUUUCAGUUUCUCAUUCUCUUUGAAUUGGCUGUCAUAAUCUGCCUUUCUUUUAAAGAAUCACACUCUUUCUCCAAGUUCUUUGUUUUGUACCGGGCUCGACGGUUUUGGAACCAAAUUGCAACUUGCCUAGGUUACAGUCCAAGUUCUUUAGCAAGCUGGAGCUUUCUCUCUGGUUCGAGCUUAUUUUUCACCUCAAAACUUUUCUCAAGAAGUUAAACCUGAUCGAGCAUGAGUGGGGAUGUCAAACGGGUCGAGCGACUCGUCAUCUCGUCAAAACUCGGCUCGUGGGCGGAUCAAUCCCACGAGCUCGUCGAGCCCACGAGCCGUGUUGAUGAGCCCACAAGCUCGUCAAAAAAUAUGAAAAAAAAGGCCAAAAAUGUGCAAGUUUACAACAAAAAAAAAAAAUCAAAAAAAUUAAAAAUUAAAAAAAUAAAAAAAUCACAAGCUCUCAAGCGGCUCGUGAGCUCGGCUGGGCUCACGAGCUCGUGGGCCGAGCCCGAGCAACAAGCCGAGCUCAAGCUCAGCUCGUCUUUCACGAGCCACAAGCUCGGCUCAUUACGAGCCCAAGUCGAGCUCGUGAAUUAAAGGGUCAAGCCGACUCGACUGGGCCCAAUGCCAUCCCUAGGCGUGAGCCGCCUUUUCUUCUACGACUGUUGAAAGCAACCAUCUAAUCAUCAUUGCCAUUUGCUUUUUUAUCAAUCUGGAUUUUCGAAGUUUACCAUGGAUGUAGAUCCUAAAACAGAGAAACCAGACAAAAUGUUAUCAGAUUCUUCAACUAACAUUAAUUGCCCGGAUUCCCAUAUUAUCAUAAAGAGAAUUGACCCUUCUUGAGGGCUGAAAAUCACAAUAUAUUGAAAU
rnacentral:lncRNA from 1 species